CGGACGGAUGUAAAGUACCGUUGAGCUGCUGUCUUCAAGACGCUCGGGUCCCGCAAGUGCCGGGUACCGGCCGUCGAAUAGCCGCUCGGGUUGCGAGCGCCACGCUGCUGCCAGCCAACGAGGUUUUGGCAGCGAACGAGGCGUCGAUCGGCGCGUGAUGGCUGGUCCUGCCCACGGCUCGGGCUUCCGUCCGGGUCGUGCGAUUGGAGGAGGAGGCGCGAUGAAGCAGCAGCUGAUGACACCCCGGCCACAAUAAUUGUGGCGUAACUCCACGACAAACGCAAAAGGCUGCCUGGACACGACAGCGCGUGGAUGGCGACCGUGGGAAUCAGAGUUACCUCCCUCGUCCACAUUUUGUCGAAGACCUUUCCUGCGUGGCCGUUGCGAAUCCAGAAUGAGCCCAUUGGAGCAGACGGCGAGUUGGGCCACGGAGCCCAAGAAGGGGACGGGGGAGGCAUUGAGGAGAUUGUGCUGUCUACAAUGGUAAACUUGCGGUCUCUUCUUUCAUCCGUCAGCGCUCGGUGGACUACGGAGCCCAGAUUGCGGUUAAGCGGUCGGUAGUCCUGCUAUUAUUUCUUCGGACGCAGAAAGUAAAAGAGAGGAAAUUAACGGAAGCCCCGGCCAUGGAGACCGUCGUCGAUCCCGCCCCUUCGACGGCCUCUCCUUCUUCCCCCGUCGUCAUCGUGGACGGCCAGGCCGCCGGAUCGGCGUCCGCGGCGGCGGGGGAAGGGAGCAGCGGCGACGGGGUGGUGCGCGAUGGACCCCCGAGCGGAGGCGGUGCGGCGGCGACGGAGGACCGGGUGAAAGGCCCGUGGUCGCCCGAGGAGGACGCGAUCCUGAGCCGGCUGGUGAGCAAGUUCGGGGCGAGGAACUGGAGCCUGAUCGCGCGCGGGAUCCCGGGGCGGUCCGGGAAGUCAUGCCGCCUCCGGUGGUGCAAUCAACUCGAUCCUUACGUCAAGCGCCGGCCUUUCACUGAUGAAGAGGACCGUAUCAUUAUUGCUGCUCAUGCAAUCCACGGUAACAAAUGGGCAUCAAUUGCAAGGCUUUUAGAAGGGAGAACUGACAAUGCUAUAAAGAACCAUUGGAAUUCCACUUUGCGACGUAGAUGCAAUGAAGAAGCUGAAUGGUGUAAAACAACUGCAUCUGAUGCUUUGAAGGAUGCCACCAUUGAGAAAACCAAAGGUUCUCUGGAUGAAUCUCCCUCUUUUAGUUACAGCAAUUCCUUCAAAUCCAUGGAAGCAAGAGAAGCUAGUUUAAGGGAAAAUGCUUUUGAUGAUUCCAGAGAGGUUGUCAUCAUAAGAGAUGAAGAAGCUCCAAAGCCUGAGAUAAAAGACCCACCUUACCUCUACCGGCCGGUUGCAAGAGUGAGUGCAUUCAGCCCGUAUAAUCGUAUGCCUGGUCGGUCAGCUGGUCCUCAAGUGUCUAGGGGAGAUAAACUGGGUCAUCCGCUGUAUGAAAUCUUUAAACCAGGUGGUGGCAUCUGUAAAUUGCUCAACAGUACUUGCUGUGACCCUCAAGUUCCACACCAGUGUGGGCAUGGUUGCUGCAGCACUCCGGCUAAGAGUCAUUCCGGUAGCUCUCUCUUGGGUCAAGAGUUCAUCGAGUUCGUGGAGCCACCACCGAUUUCAAGCGAUGAUUUGGCUGCCAUAGUGUCAGAUAUUAGCAGCAUCGCAUGGUUCAGAAGUGGCUUGAACAGUAGUAACACCGGCAUGUAUGCUUGUCCACCUGGACAGGUAGAUUCACAAGGAGUACAUAUCUAACAACUAUAGCAUGGGAAGGAUCUCCAUCAUCAUCUCGGCAUCUUGAAGAGAAUUUUGUAAGCUAUGUCAACGAGCAUGAGGAAGCGGCAGUUAGCAUCAGAAACGAAGGGAAUCCAUUAAGAAUGACUGGAAGUUAAAGUCUCCAUUAGUGACGGUGCGAAAAUUGUCUCACAUUCUGAUGAUGCUGAUGUAUAAUUAGCUAAACAGAAUGGUUCAGUUUUCAGACUUUUUCUCCAACAUCUACGAGUAAGAAGACAAUAUGAAGGAUCAAUACAAUUCGGCCGUCAGGUGGGGCAGCGACUGCGGUGGCGACACCCAACUCCUCCUCGUACAGGGAGAGUAAUCCGUAGCACUACGUGUCCCGCACGGCAGCGGUUUUGACGACCCGAACCUAAAGCCCGAAACCUCGACGUCUCCUGUCUUCUUCCUCCUCACCUAGUUCAAGAAACUCUCUCCUUCCUCUCUUGCUUCAUGGGUGGAGGGCUCUCCCGUCAUGAUUCGCCCUCUGUGGCUGACACAAGCGCCCCAUCCAAUCUCGAUAAAGAUCAGGUACUGUCGCCUCUCAUCUUCAUCUCGAGGCUUUGUUUCCUGUUUGAUGUCUGACGAUUGUCUGAUGUCCCGUGUUCUUUAUUUCCUCUGUUCUCAAGGUUUCGAUUCUGGUUUCUGUAAUCUGUGCGACCAACUGCAACCUUUAGAUCUGUGUUCUAGUCUCUGAUGCAAAUAACCAUGAAUAGAACCAGUUUGGGUUU